rnacentral:rRNA from 1 species
AUUGAACGCUGGCGGCAGGCCUAACACAUGCGAGUCGAAUGGUAACAGGAAACAGCUUGCUGUUUCGCUGACGAGUGGCGGACGGGUGAGUAAUGUCUGGGAAACUGCCUGAUGGAGGGGGAUAACUACUGGAAACGGUAGCUAAUACCGCAUAGCGUCGCAAGACCAAAGAGGGGGACCUUCGGGCCUCUUGCCAUCAGAUGUGCCCAGAUGGGAUUAGCUAGUAGGUGGGGUAACGGCUCACCUAGGCGACGAUCCCUAGCUGGUCUGAGAGGAUGACCAGCCACACUGGAACUGAGACACGGUCCAGACUCCUACGGGAGGCAGCAGUGGGGAAUAUUGCACAAUGGGCGCAAGCCUGAUGCAGCCAUGCCGCGUGUAUGAAGAAGGCCUUCGGGUUGUAAAGUACUUUCAGCGGGGAGGAAGGGAGUAAAGUUAAUACCUUUGCUCAUUGACGUUACCCGCAGAAGAAGCACCGGCUAACUCCGUG